GCACAUAGUGCCCGAGAGCGCGUCACUUCCGGCGUCACAGACGGUCUUUACAAGCGACUCGUGGGCGUCAAUACUGGGCUGAGUUUGUGGCGCGCUUAGUGAUGGGAUGGCCCUGUGCAGGACGCCGACACGAAAAGAUGAAGAGUUCAAUCCGUGCUGUCUGAACUCACAGUGUAGCAGGCGAGAUAGACGGGAAGAUCGGUAGGGUGGGAGAUGCCGGAAAGGCUUCCCGUGAGACUGGAUAAGAAAUCAAAAAUCUGGUGAAAUUGCCGGCAAGAGGGAGUUAAGGACAUUCCAGGCAGAGGCAAGGCUCCCGCUGAAGUAACCCAGACGCCAGGGAUAUCUCUGCCCGCUCCACUCUGACUCUAGUGCUCAAUGUGCCUGCCAGGCCUUGCUAGGGAUGCUGUGCCAGUGUGAAGAGGAAGGUGGUCUCCAGCUCUCACCCCAUAGAAGCUUUCUGCCUCAGUUUCCCUAACCUGGAACACCACAAUGACUCCUGAAUUGAAAAACACUGCUUACAGCAUCUAGGCUAAAAUUGGCAGAAUACCUGGGCUCCAAGCCAGGGAGAUUUGGAGCGAUGGGGAGGUGCAAGAGCACAGCCAGACAGAGCCAAAAGCAAUAAUAUCCUGUUUGUUCCUACACUGCCCUCCGCAUUAAAAAAACAACGACAGCUACAUCAAGCCCUUUUGUUAAGUGGCCACAAGCUGUACAUUUCUUGGUCCCAGGCAGGUAUACUGGGAGUUCAGAUCCUGGUCUUAAUGCUCUUCUCUGGUUCUGUGACAUCCUAGAAUGUGAAGAGGAGGCCUUGGGUUCUGUCACUGCCUCCAGCCCGAGCCCCCUGCUCUUCCUGGGCAUCCCGGAUGGACCAUGUCUGCCUUUCUGCUGACUCAGAUUUAUUUCUGGUCCAGCCAUUCACAGCGUCCAUGUGUCUGAACUCCUCAGCCAGAGGGCAGGUGGAAGGGCAGGAGGAGGACCACGUGUCAGCUUUCCAUCCAGAGAGCCACCCCAAAACAGAGGAUGUCCUUGGGCUUGGACCAGCUCCACAGAACACUCUGAACAAAUUCUCACGAUGCCAGGCUCCUAGGCCGCAGAAAAUGCCUGUCUCCUCCCAGUUCUAAGAUAGCAAAGGGUGUGCGUUACCUCAAAACCACUUAGUACGCAGCCAACCUUAAUGGGCACUCUUGGCAUUACUGUUCUACUCAGCAAAUAGACAGUCCUAGGCAGGAAGGAGAUAUUUAGAAUCCUACUCUGUAAAACAGAGGCCUUUCCUAGGCCUCCUGUGAUGAAGGCAUGGGACCGUUACCAGACUUUGUCCCUCAAGGGUAAAUUGUUUUCAAGAAAACAGGAAGCUAGGAGCCAUCUAGUCCUUUGAAGUGCUGUGAAGUGGGCUGCCUUCUUCCCCGCCCAAGGGAGGGAGUCUCUGAGGCUUCCUGGCAAGGGUUAGUGUGACCUCCAGCAGUCACCUUCAGCAUGGGUUGCUGCUGGAUUCCUGGCUCUGUGGGCAGGAGCUCCCAGAAUGCUUGACACAGACUCUACGUGGCUUCCUUUGGGAAGACAAAUGGAGCCUGCUGUAGGCUAUGGCAGAGAUGGAGGCCCAGGGCCUCUGAGCUAGGGGCAAAGUCAGUCUCCCUCCUGUGUCUGAAACCCCAGGACUCCCCAUUCUGUAUGGUACUCCCCCCGACCCAACCCACAGUUUCCUUAGGAAAACUGACCUGCCUAUGGCCCAUUUCCUAAUGAUAUGAUUUGGUCAUGAGGCUGGCAGAGUCCAUGGGGUGCAUGUGGCACUCCUGUGCUUUGCUGUGACAGUGCCUUAACCCACAGGCGUGAUUAACUCCAAAGUCUGGGGUCUUUGGAAAAGGUGCCUAUCAAUGCAGAGGAAGUGAAGUGCUCAGACCGCCAAACAAGGCCAAGAGCCUCCCGGAAGAGCCUGCCUGUCAGGAAGUCUCUGGCCACAUGCUGUGGCCAUGCUCGCCUCUAUGAGAGGACAGAGAGAACAGACCAAGGACACGAGUUCAGAACAGAGAAAAUGUGAGAGCCGUAGACAGGAAAAGCAGCCCUUCUGGAAACAGCACACUGGUGUACCUAGCGUAACCUUGUCCUGAGGGCCACUAACUGCCCCUCACUUGACUCAGCUGACACUGUGAGGGGUCACGAGCCUGGCAACACUUUCUGGAAGGUCUAAAGGGCAGCACUGAGGAGACCUAAAGGUUUUGGUCUGUUUGUCAAAUGUCACUCUUCCUCACAUUCGGAGGAGAGCAUUUGAAGGCAGACCACUCUAGGGGCAAGAACAGGACUGAUUUUAACCCCGGGACAACCAACCAAGCAAGCAAGCUAGUGAAGAACAGGCCUCUGCCCAGGUGAAACACGUGGGGCCAAUUCCAUAGGUUUUUUUUUUUUUUUUUUUUUUUUUAAUUAACCUCCGGUGGGAAAGGUAAGGAUGGUGGGGAGGGGAGACGGUUACUUGUCUCAUUAUCAAUGUGUUAGUAUUAGUGACGGCAAAACUGAAUCUCUAGCAAUACUAUUUGCCCGUUUAAACUGGGCCUGGCUAUUGGGCUUAUGAGCAAAUAGCUUCUCAAAAUUUUAAUUUUCUAGUUAGUUCAUCCCAAGUCACUGAUUUACAUGUCUUUUGAGACUGAGACUGCUGGGGAAAAACAUUCCCAGAAAUGAGUGGAUUAGACUCUGUGAAUUACAAGGGAAAGACACUUUAAGUUUAAAGUUGUCCCAAACUUAGCGUCAAAAUACAGCCUUUAGAUUUUUUUUUCCAUCGAGAAAAAUUCCUGAUUCACUACCAAAAAGAGGCCCUGCAGGCAGCGUGCUGAUUUGUUCUGCUCCUGGUGCUGAGCUGCCCCCACCUGUGUGCAGGGAGGAGGGGUCGCUUCGGCCAAGGGCGGGAGCUCUGCUGGCUUUAGCGAGUCACCAUUGCCUCCUCGCAGUCAGCGUCCUAACGGGGUCCCCGUCUACAGCCCGGCAUCCACUCCUCCAAGGCCCUUCACACUGGCUCUAGCCAUGACCCCUCUUUGGAGGAAUAAAGCAGAGUUUCACGGACUCACCGACCUUGAAGCCGGAGCCUCCCACGUCCUGCUGAGCGCACACAGCCAAGAAGUGUAUGCAGGGCGAGCUGGUCGGGCCGGCCUGGAAAUCCUCCCUGGCGGGGCGGGGCCAGAGGACCUCACCAAUCCCAGCGUAGACCUCCGGGCGCACCGGCCCCCACAGCUGUACCCUUGAAGGCAGGCCCGUGGGCGCUGGGCCCUUUAUAGCACCUGCCCUUUCUCUGAAACGUAAAAGGCGGAGCCAGUCUUGCUUCCCAGGCCUGGUCCUGGAGGCUCCUUUGCCAGGGCUCUGGAUCUCAGAAUGGAAGGGCCAGCAGGUGAAAUUGCACAUCUGUUGGGGGAUUUGUUUCUCUCUUCUCUCAGGUGUACCAGCCUUGGGGCCCUGGUGAGCUCUGGAGGAUGAACCCCUCAAGCCAAGGUCGGAGAGGAGGAUGUCUCAAGCUGCCUGGCUCCAGCAGCUGACCGGGCCCUGAGCCAGGGGCUGGAGGGACCUCCUUCCAGCGUCUUUGUCUGGGACCUGGAUCCAGGGACAAUUACAGUCAGGUUUCUGUUCAAGAUCAGGCCCCCUGCAGUAGAUGGCUAGAUCAUCUCGCUUUCUGUCCACACCAGCUUAACCCACGGCAGGCCAUAGCCCUGCUUAAAAAUAGCCCCGCUUGGGAUAUCCACCGCACGCCGGGAAGGCUGCCUGUAAAUAGCAAUGACCCAGCAGGAUUUUGGACAGCAGCCCUGCCAUUUCAAGGGAGCCUGCCUAGGCAUCUGGUGACCGUCACGUACUCAGCUUCUGAGGCCACGUGGACAUGACCAAUUGGUUCCUGUCUCUUCCUUCUCAGAGCCCAGCUCAUGCUCAGAGGACUUGAUGGAGCAAGGGGUGGAGCCCCAGGAAUAACCUUCUACCCAGUGUGGUUCUCCUUCAUUCUCUGAAGGAGUUUCCAUUUCUUUUAAACACGACCCAUGUUUAAAAAUAUCAUCUAUUUUACCUUUGCAUGGGGUACUGACAGGGAGAGCACGUGAGGGGGCCUUUUGGCGGGAUGGGAAGUUUCCUGAUUGGGGUGGUUAUAUAAAGAUUGGGACCAAUCAAAUUAAUUUCAUAAUCCUUUAAGGAGUCAAGACCCACCAGCUUGCAUAUUCUAUCAUCAGGGCAGUCUCGGUUUAUUCCUUCUCAAAAUAGCUCUUUUCCACACACACUUGUUUCAAGUCAGUUCAGGCACCAACUGAAAUAAAUCCAUUGACCCUGAAAUAGCCCAGCUCCCAGAUCCAGAAAAUUAUAAGGCUUUUAAAGAGCAUGGAAUUGUAGAUUUAAAGAAUGGCAGUUAUAGCAAAAACCUCCUUUUCCUCCCCAAUUGCCUAAUCAACAUUUAGGGCCCCCUCCACUCACCCGACCUCAACACCUUAUAUUUUAUAGAGUAAAUGUUUAUGUUAGUAAGGUCAGAAGAAAAAUUGGGUCAUUGUUGAGAAAAGAGGGUACCACCCUUCUUUUGGGGGACUGGUCCUCUUCAAGCUUAUUAUAAAGGUGGUGUGAUGGGGAUGAAAUCUCUACAAGGGACUCACAGUAGAAAUUCUGGCUUUCUGGAAAUCUUUCAAAUGCCAUCCCUGUCACAUGGCAUCUAUUCCCUUCUCAUCGUUACCAACUCCUUUUGAAGCUCUGGGGCUCUAGCCACACCAGGCUGCCCUGUGGCUGGCUUCUGCCAUAAGGGCAGGAACAGAAUUGAAGUGUGCGACUGCCAUAUCAUUUGCUUUAAAGGAAAAUGUCCUGGACUUAUUCUCUUUUCUGUUCCUGAGUCCAGCAGGAGUGUGGCUAGAGCAGGCCCCAGAUUUGACCUCGAAGGCAAGGAUGACGCCUUGUGGGAUGAGCAAGUAAUAGGAUGAAAGGAACCUGGGUUCCUCUGUCGCACCAGCCUGGAUUGCUCAUUUCAGAAUUGGGCAGGAGGGACCCCUUUCCUUAGUCUAUUCUUGUGUCCAGCAACUGUAACUUAAUUCCAUCAGCUCUAAAUGUUGCCACAACUUCAUAGAAGUUAAAGUAUUUUCAUAUAUAGUAAUCCAUAUAACCACUGCAGUUAUUUUAGGGGUAGACAGGAGUCUUAUUUCAGAAGCCCCUCCUAGGUGGAGCCUGGUGACUAUUAGGCCAGGACUCUACCCUGGCGGCUUCUCCUCUCUCCACCACCCAUUCAGGAGCGUUGAGCUGCUGUGCAAUGGACUGAGCUGUUCCAGGUAGUAGUGAGUUCUCUGUGCCUGGAGGUAUCAAAUAUAGGCUGGGGAUGUCACAGGAAGAAUCUAAGCACUGCAAAGAAAGUGUGAUUAGUUGAUCCUUCGUAUCAUUUCAAAGCUUUCCCCAAAUUCUUUGAAUUUUAGGGCCUCUUCUAAACUGUUUUUCUCCCUGAACUUUAGAAGUAAUAUUUAGAAGUAAAUAAUAUAUCUGAAGGAGUUCACUGCUAUGAAGAAGAUGUAAAAUAAAAAUAAAGCCCCUAGGCCCCCAAGCAAAACAAAACAGACUCAUUGUGGUAAAAAGAGACCCCAGGAAACAUUAAAAACCAGAUUCUACAGCUUUGGCAAGGCAAGAGGUCAGUCACACCCAACGCUCUCCCACCUCGAUAACUGCCUCAAGACUUUCUUUCCUAAAAUUAAACUAAAACCAGUUACUGAAAAACUAUGUCUGGAAGAUUUCUUCCUCAACUUCAACAGACAACCUGACGUGGCGAACCCCCCCUUCCCUCAACGCAGUUUCCCCCUGACAAGUGUUCAGCCUUACAAAGCACUCCAUCCUCAUAACUGACCACAGACCACAGCCGGUUCUGGCCGGUUUACAGAGAUUGCACACCAAGCGUCUUUGUGCCCUGUGUUCCAUCUUUUGACAUAUAGAGCCCAAUUUUACUACAUUUUAAGUCUCCAUCCCAAAGUGAACAUGGGUUGUAUGUAACAUGUAACAUAUAUGAUUACUGGCUAUGCAUGCAUUAGGGCCUCUCAUAAAUAUUCAUAAGAUUAUCCUAUAACCUACUAAAUGUAUAUGUAAGGCUCAUCUUGUUGGGCAUAAAUCUCAGCCUCUCCCUUUUUUAUCUGAAGUGCUUGCUUUUGGCUUUGGCCAGAGGCUCCAGCCUGCAGAUUGUAACCCUUUAUAAGAAAUUAAGUUCUAUUUUUUCUAAAUGUAUACAUUUCAUGGUUUUAAGUUGACAAUGUAGAAAAAUGGGGGGAAAAAGAGUUAAAUGAAGAAACCAGUGAGAUUUCUGAAUAUUCAAGAAAGGUGAAGUUUAAUUUGCAUAUAGGC
rnacentral:lncRNA from 10 species